AUAAGCACCUCUCCUCUUUCUUCCUCCAAAACGCAAAAGUCAAUACCAAGAACUCUAAUUUCUUCAUCCAACUACACCACCCAUCACCAUUGACAGUCCCUCCUUCCAUAUUCAAAGAUUGCAGACCUCGAGCUUGAUUUGUUGACUUUGGAUUAGAUAAAAAUCUCAACCAAAUCUAAUCCGAAUCGGAGGAUAUCACAUCGAAUCCGAAUUUUCGGAGAGGAGACACACGGAGACAAAAAAAUAGGGGACAAACAGAGGAUUGAAAUUUGAAGGUUGGAGAAUAGUAUUCCCUGAAAUUGAACCCACGAAGGUUUGAGCCUCGAAUUUUCAAUUUUCUUUCAAGUUCUUUGGAUCAUCUGUUGGUGGCGGUCAGUGGUAGUAGGAAGCUCUUCAACUCGUUUGUCUCAGUCGCUGCCCUAAAAAAGGUAAAACCUGUUUCUCUUCUUACUGUUCUGUUAACUUCAGGUGCACCUGGGUUAUUGUGUUUGAAGUUAUGUGUGGUAUUAUAAGUUUUCUCAUCGAGCUCUGUAAUUGUUUCUCUCAUGUUGUGAUUAUAGGAUGAGUGUGUGUUGCCGUUUAUUUCUUGUUUUCACAUAUGAGUUUGCAAUUCUCUUUCC